UACGGGAGGAGCAGUGGGGAAUAUUGCACAAUGGGCGCAAGCCUGAUGCAGCCAUGCCGCGUGUAUGAAGAAGGCCUUCGGGUUGUAAAGUACUUUCAGUCGUGAGGAAGGUGUUAAGGUUAAUAACCUUAGCAAUUGACGUUAGCGACAGAAGAAGCACCGGCUAACUCCGUGCCAGCAGCCGCGGUAAUACGGAGGGUGCGAGCGUUAAUCGGAAUUACUGGGCGUAAAGGGCACGCAGGCGGUUAAUUAAGUUGGAUGUGAAAUCCCCGGGCUUAACCUGGGAAUGGCAUUCAAGACUGGUUAGCUAGAGUCUUGUAGAGGGGGGUUAGAAUUCCAUGUGUAGCGGUGAAAUGCGUAGAGAUGUGGAGGAAUACCGGUGGCGAAGGCGGCCCCUGGACAAAGACUGACGCUCAUGUGCGAAAGCGUGGGGAGCAAACAGGGAUUAGAUACCCGU
rnacentral:rRNA from 1 species